rnacentral:rRNA from 1 species
UACGGAGGGUGCAAGCGUUAAUCGGAAUCACUGGGCGUAAAGCGCUCGUAGGCGGCUUGGUCAGUCAGAUGUGAAAGCCCUCGGCUUAACCGGGGAACUGCAUUUGAUACUGCCAGGCUUGAGUGUCGGAGAGGGUGGCGGAAUUCCAGGUGUAGGAGUGAAAUCCGUAGAUAUCUGGAGGAACACCAGUGGCGAAGGCGGCCACCUGGACGACAACUGACGCUGAGGAGCGAAAGCGUGGGGAG